AACGACCAUACCAUGCUGAAUAUACCGGUUCUCGUUAGAUCACCGAAGUCAAGCAUCAUUGAGCACGGUCAGUACUUGGGUGGGUGACCACCUGGGAACACCGUGCCGUUGG
rnacentral:rRNA from 1 species